AUUGAACGCUGGCGGAAUGCUUUACACAUGCAAGUCGAACGGUAGAGGGGGCAACCCCUUGAGAAUGGCGAACGGGUGAGUAAUAUAUCGGAACGUGCCCAGUCGUGGGGGAUAACGUAGCGAAAGUUACGCUAAUACCGCAUACGAUCUAAGGAUGAAAGCGGGGGACCGUAAGGCCUCGCGCGAUUGGAGCGGCCGAUAUCAGAUUAGGUAGUUGGUGGGGUAAAGGCUCACCAAGCCAACGAUCUGUAGCUGGUCUGAGAGGACGACCAGCCACACUGGAACUGAGACACGGUCCAGACUCCUACGGGAGGCAGCAGUGAGGAAUAUUGGGGCAAUGGGCGCUAGCCUGACCCAGCCAUGCCGCGUGCAGGAAGACGGUCCUAUGGAUUGUAAACUGCUUUUGUACGGGAAGAAACCCUAUUACGUGUAAUAGAUUGACGGUACCGUACGAAUAAGGAUCGGCUAACUCCGUG
rnacentral:rRNA from 1 species